rnacentral:rRNA from 1 species
CCCUGGGUUAGUCGGGACCUAAGCUGAGGCCGAAAGGCGUAGGUGAUGGACAACAGGUUGAUAUUCCUGUACUACCGAUAACCGUUUGAGAGAAGGGAGGACACAGUAGGAUAAGCUAAGCACACUGUUGGUUAUGUGUGCCCAAGCAUUGAGGCAGUCAAAGUAGGCAAAUCCGCUUUGAUAAUGCUGGGAUGUGAUGGGGAGCGAAAUUUAGUAGCGAAGUAGC